UUCGUUUGGAGAUUACAUUCUAGACGAAGACCAGGUCGUCAAGUUCUGGAAAGCAUAUGAUACAUGCUGGUUCGAUUUUGAUAAAAGACAACGCGGAGAUGAACCAAAUCCUGGGAGUGAGCGUGAGAAAAAGUUCAACGAUGCGAAAAAAUACAUGUACGACAUUUUGGCGGCGGUCAUCGAAGUCAGGC